ACGGGUGAGUAAUGUCUGGGAAACUGCCCGAUGGAGGGGGAUAACUACUGGAAACGGUAGCUAAUACCGCAUAACGUCUUCGGACCAAAGUGGGGGACCUUCGGGCCUCACACCAUCGGAUGUGCCCAGAUGGGAUUAGCUAGUAGGUGGGGUAAUGGCUCACCUAGGCGACGAUCCCUAGCUGGUCUGAGAGGAUGACCAGCCACACUGGAACUGAGACACGGUCCAGACUCCUACGGGAGGCAGCAGUGGGGAAUAUUGCACAAUGGGCGCAAGCCUGAUGCAGCCAUGCCGCGUGUGUGAAGAAGGCCUUCGGGUUGUAAAGCACUUUCAGCGAGGAGGAAGGCAGUCGUGUUAAUAGCACGAUUGAUUGACGUUACUCGCAGAAGAAGCACCGGCUAACUCCGUGCC
rnacentral:rRNA from 1 species